CAACAGUCGCUCCCUGGACCUGGAUGGCAUCAUCGCUGAGGUCAAGGCGCAGUAUGAGGAGAUGGCCAAAUGCAGCCGGGCUGAGGCUGAAGCCUGGUACCAGACCAAGUUUGAGACCCUCCAGGCCCAGGCUGGGAAGCAUGGGGACGACCUCCGGAAUACCCGGAAUGAGAUUUCAGAGAUGAACCGGGCCAUCCAGAGGCUGCAGGCUGAGAUCGACAACAUCAAGAACCAGGGCGGAUCCAGGCCUAUAGCCAGGUGUCUACCACCACUGAGGGGCGUCAUGGGGAGCUACAAGGGGUCUCCAGAGGCAGCGGGGAUGGCAUUGGCUCUGGGGGCACCAGUGUGACAGGGCAGGGCACUGAGCUGUGGCCGAGGGGCAGAGUGUCAGAGGGCCUCCUGGGGAAUGCUGUCUCUGGCAGAGAGGCAGCCAC
rnacentral:sRNA from 1 species